CUUCUCAGCAAGUGGGUUUACAAACUACUCACUGAGAAUGGAGUAUGGCAGAAAAUCAUUCGCAACAAGUAUGUGGGAUCCAAUGCCAUUUCUCAAGUUCAUUGGAAACCUGGGGAUUCGCAUUUUUGGAGUGGCGUGAUGAAGGCCAAUGAAUUCUUUUUCCAAUUUGGGACCUUCUCGGUUAGGGACGGUUCGCAGGUUCGAUUCUGGGAAGACACCUGGCUAGGGAAC
rnacentral:rRNA from 1 species